rnacentral:tRNA from 1 species
AGUAAUGUGCCCGAAAAUAAGGACUUCUUUGAUAGAGAAGACUAUGAAAGCUCAGACCUUUCCAUUACUA